ACUCCUACGGGAGGCAGCAGUGGGGAAUCUUGGACAAUGGGCGCAAGCCUGAUCCAGCCAUGCCGCGUGAGUGAUGAAGGCCCUAGGGUCGUAAAGCUCUUUCGCCAGAGAUGAUAAUGACAGUAUCUGGUAAAGAAACCCCGGCUAACUCCGUGCCAGCAGCCGCGGUAAUACGGAGGGGGUUAGCGUUGUUCGGAAUUACUGGGGCGUAAAGCGUACGUAGGCGGAUUAGUUAGUCAGAGGUGAAAUCCCAGGGGCUCAACCCUGGAACUGCCUUUGAUACUGCUAGUCUUGAGUUCGAGAGAGGUGAGUGGAAUUCCGAGUGUAGAGGUGAAAUUCGUAGAUAUUCGGAGGAACACCAGUGGCGAAGGCGGCUCACUGGCUCGAUACUGACGCUGAGGUACGAAAGUGUGGGGAGCAAACAGGAUUAGAUACCCUGGUAGGAUAGC
rnacentral:rRNA from 1 species